CCUACGGGGGGCUGCAGUGGGGAAUAUUGCACAAUGGGCGCAAGCCUGAUGCAGCCAUGCCGCGUGUGUGAAGAAGGCCUUCGGGUUGUAAAGCACUUUCAGCGGGGAGGAAGGCGGUGAGGUUAAUAACCUCAUCGAUUGACGUUACCCGCAGAAGAAGCACCGGCUACCUCCGUGCCAGCAGCCGCGGUAAUACGGAGGGUGCAAGCGUUAAUCGGAAUUACUGGGCGUAAAGCGCACGCAGGCGGUCUGUCAAGUCGGAUGUGAAAUCCCCGGGCUCAACCUGGGAACUGCAUUCGAAACUGGCAGGCUAGAGUCUUGUAGAGGGGGGUAGAAUUCCAGGUGUAGCGGUGAAAUGCGUAGAGAUCUGGAGGAAUACCGGUGGCGAAGGCGGCCCCCUGGACAAAGACUGACGCUCAGGUGCGAAAGCGUGGGGAGCAAACAGGAUUAGAUACCCGGGUAGUC
rnacentral:rRNA from 1 species